CAUGCGUUGCCCACUCCCAUCGAUCCCAUCUAUCGUUUCCGCCGCCGCCGCCCCGAAAAAACUCCAUCAAUCCCCAUCCUUGCUUGCCCACUCCCAUCGAUCAUUGUCACCGCCGCCGCCGCCGUCCGAUGGGGGAGACGUCGCCGCUGUCGCCGCCGCCGUCCGAGGGGGAGACGUCGCCGCCGCCGCUGCAAGGUAUGGCAGUUUGAAUCCCGCCCCCGCCUCUGCAAGGCAGGGCGGUUUCAAUCCCACCGCCGCCGAACUCCGGGAAUCGCCGCCGCCAAGUCUCCAGGGCAGGGCGGUUUCAAACCCUGCCGACGAACACCGGGAUAUGCAUAAUCGUCGCUGCCGCCCCCUCCCCCGGCUGCCCCAUGGUCUUCUAUCUCUCCCAACUCCGCUGCGUCUUCCGUCUCUGCAUGAAUCGCUGUUGUGGCAGCCACUCCCCAUGGCGGCCAUCCGGGCACACCGUUUCCGGGAUGAUGGAGGUGAUGUCGGCCAGUUCCCUGUUUUUGUUGGCAUCUUCUGCGAUGGGACCCGUGGGGGCAGGUCGCGCGCUGCUCAUCUGCGUCGAUGGCGUCGGUGUCGUCCUUCCCCUGCCAAGCAUGGCAGCUCCUUGGCUGGAUCACAGUGAUGAUACAGUUGGCUCGGCGGCGGCUAAGGAUCUCGCAGGCUGGCGUUUAUUUGAUGUCUGGGUGUUCCAAUCGUGAUGGAACGGACGUAUAAUGUACAGUAUAAGAAUUUGGACGAGGCUCAUCUGCGUGGAUGGUUGUGGCUUGGCCGCCGGGCACACAAUCCAUUGAUUCACACAUAAGGUUUGCCUUUUUCUUCUCUUUGCAUUCUUUUCUAUUAAGUUUGCAGAUUGUUUGUGUUGGCCAACGAAAAAAGAUUUAGGACCCUAGAUUUAUACAGUUUAAGAACUUACAAAGUUUAGCAAGUAUCUGGUUCUGAACUUUCGAAGAGUGCUUAUAACAGUAAUUUCUUCAGUCUUUUGUAAUUCCGAUUUAAUAGCGAUUCUGUUGUAGUAGCAUCCUUGUAUUUCACCAUUGGAAUGUGUACUGUUUCUUGAUUCUUGAAUUCUGAGCUGAAUGUGCACAUUUAGCGACCACUGCGUACGUACGUGCUCUAACGGAAAGUACGUAGCUGACACAGACCGUAGCCAUCUACACCAAGGCUCCUCUGCCCUACCGAGUCUUGCAAGCGACCGUCGUAAGAAAUAUUCCGUGUGAUGCCGGCAUGUGUUGUUGUUGCACUGUCGCAACCAUCCAUCUACACACCAAAUGUCAAAACCGAGUCACGGUGUUCACAAUGCUGGGCAUUAUUUAUAUCGAAGGACGAGGAGGAAGAUUUGGAUGACCGUAACCACAAUGGCAAGGGCAGCAACAUGGUCGUCACCUGCAAUGCCGAUGGGUGCUGACAUUAUGAUGUUUGGUUUAUUUGUUGAAAGUUACAACCCAUGUUUCAUGAUUUAUUUGCCACCGGUUAAUCAUGGUAUUUUGAAGUGCUCUGACAAUUGCUUGCUGUCUGCAUCUCUUACUUUUCAACUUGCUGCAUAUACAGAUAUACACCAUUAGAAUCUGUUUGUAGAAUAUAUUUACUUAUUCAACAUGCUUCAGUUAUGCUUCUUUCAAAAUCCAGUUGUAGAUUGCAGUGAAGCCCCAUUUAGAUCUUGGCUAUAGUAUUAUUCUUGUCUUAUGACUCGUGACAGAUUGAUAUGUGAUACCAUGACAUAGCAUAUGUGGUACCGUGGUAGUCACAUUUGGUGGUAGUUCUGAUUGUUUGCUAGAUUACGAGAUAAUACCAAGUGCUUCUGCAACUCGGUUGCGGUUUUGAUAGGAACAUGAAGACUUGUGCCAUGCCAUGCAGCAUGUUUGAUUAAAAGGACAUAGUUGCUCCAAUAUAUUGAGCAGGAAGAAGUUUGUUACAAGUGUUUUAUAGAGUUGACGCCAGAGACAUCCGACGGGAUACAUUGGUGAAGGAAUCGAUGAAGAAGCUUCCGUUCAGCAUGGUAUCUCAAUGGAAGAAUAUCCGAAGCAAACCUCCGCUACUUCUCUGUUCCCUUUCAUUUGUCGUGGGAAGACCUUAGGAAGGUAGGAAGACCUUAGGAAGAGCGGGUGGGAGGAAGAGAGGCCUGUGCUAUAGAUGUAGGCGAACAAUGGUCCUUGGAAAUUAUUAGUACUCUACAAAAUGUCUGUCCCCUAUGAUGCCUACAAUGAGCGAGAGAGGGUGGAAGGAAGGGAGAGCGGAGGAAGGAAGAUGGGGAUAUAUGUAGAGAGAGGGAGAUAGGAGGAAGGGAGAUGGGCAUAUAUGUAGAGAGAGGAAGAUCAGAGAGGGAGGGGAGAUUUACAGGACGAUUGUCGUUGAGCCACUCAAAUAUGUAUGUCUCUGUUGCAUCGCACGGGCAAUUAACUAUAGAAAAAUUCAAGGCUAUUUUUUUAAGUGACAUUUAUUCAGUGUGUUCCAACCUUUACAUGCCUUAACUAUAGAAUAAUCUAAUAUUAUGAUUUCUCCAGUAAGCAGUAUACUAUAUACUUAACUGGGACUUUGAAUUUGUGCUUUAGGAAAAUUUGAAUAGACCUCGUCCACGCCGAUAAUUCCCUGGUACAUCAGGUUGAACAAUUUUGUUUAUGUUGUGAGUGGUCAAUAUUCCUUACCGCUGGCCACAUAUCUCACUUUGUGCUGGUCCCCUAGAAUAUGCUAAUGUUUAGUUUCCAAUUUUUCAACUAUCAAAUAUCAGUGGACUUUACAUGGUUUCUUGCAAAAAAAAGACACAUAUGGCCCGAGUUUGUUUGCUCAGGAGCAUUCUUUCAUAGAUUAUAAUAGUCAGUGGCUUAAAAGUAUUGUCAUUGCUAGAAACAUAAAACUGAUGAAAUAAGAACAUAUUUGUACCUUAUUGCCGGCUGACUAUACACACAAGAACCUCGACACUCUCAUUACUGUGUUAUAUAUUUAGUUGCAAUAGUAUUUGAUUUUUCAUGAAGCAAUAUGCUUACUGUUUCUUCAUUCAGUUUCGUGUUUCAAUGACGCAUGGAGGACGACGGUCACGAGCGCAUUGUCGCAAGCUCACAGGAGGGAGGCACACAUCUCAUCCGAUAUAAAAGCACGCUCCAAAGAAUCCCUAACCCUCCAUGGAGCCAUUGCUAGGGGGCGACGAGAUCAACGCCACCCAUCACGACCACCGAGAUGUAGAAGUGCGGUGAUUUCUUGCCUGGCGUAUAACAAUGUGUGUUCAAUGGGUCUCCUCUUCUCACGCACAAGUCUCAGAGGGAGACAACGACAGCUAUUCAGAAUAACCACAACAAAAUUGUUACACAGGUGGUUAGUGGGAGAAGGAACCUGAUACCGCAGCCGAUUCUGCAACAAGGGUGGUGCGUAGAAGAUAGUUGUAGCAAGCAUAUAUAUAAGUCACUCUGGAAAAAGUGUGUAGUUAUUGUUGUAAUAGAGAUCCAUUCCUAUAUUUUCACUGAUAUGCAUGGUUGAAUAGUACUAUGUGUGAUAUGUGAGAGUAAUGUAAUACAAAAUGAAACAUGGUGGAGAGGGCUUCGUGACUGAGCUGGCGAACAAAAUGUCAGUGGUGGAAACGGACAUGUUAUAGAAGAUGUUGAGGGUGGCACCGGAGUUAAUGGCCAAAUGGGGUUCCUCGGCACCGAAGAGAAGGAUGCUGCAGCGACACGUACUGGGUUCCAUUUCCAACCAGAGAAGAACUUAUGAAUGGUAUGUGCGCGAUCCAUUCAUUCUUUCGUUUGAUCCUUAUUCCCCUCAACUCAGAUUCAUUUUAUUUUGCACUUAUGCAUGAUUUUGAUGGAUCAAUAAAUUUAGUGGCAUUAAUUGCAAUGAGAAAUAUCAUAUAUCCAUAAACUUCACAUUGUUGUUGCUACGAGUCUGCUGGUCAGCUACUUCCAGUUAUCCUCAUCGAGAGUUGAUUGUCGGAUUUCACCAAGAAAUCAAAACAGAGGAAAACCCGCCGGUCUUACUACCGAUAGCAUCAAACAAGAAUAUGGGCACUAGAAAGGAGACGAUCCUAUCCACUAUCACAAUGAAACAAGAGAAACAAUUCCUUGCAGUCAUCUAUAAGGUCAGCAUGUUAGGGCUUGGUUGAUUCAUUUAUAUUGCUAUUUCUAUGCACACGUAAAUGGAUCUACGUAUCCACAAUUAAUUUGCUUACCCAUGUGAGUUUGGGGAUAUUUUUUCUCUUGUUAGGAUGCAUGUCAGAUUUAAAUUCUCUGAUAUCUAUGUAUGUAGUGUAAUUUUUAUUUUGUAAAAACCUACUACCAGUCCACGCAUGAAGGUGCACUUAAUUUCUUAGUAUUUCUACGUGCAUUAUCUCUCUUGAAUUUACUUAGUAAUAGUAUUUUGUUAUUUGGGUCUGAAGAUACCAAUAUUGCAAAAAGUAAAUAAUUUGGGAGGAAAGUGAUUUGAACUUUAUACUGUUAAGGACAGUAAACCAAAUUGAUUUGUAUAGAGAUGUGAAUAAUCAAACCGAAAAAGGGGAGUUGAUUAGUAAGGAGACAUCUAGGAUGUUUCAAAUUCUGCCGAAAAGCUCAAUAUAAAUAUGUGUAGAUGUGUUAAAAUUUGUUCACUGAAUUUCUGGUAAUAUAAUUAGUACUACUCCCUCUGUUUCUAAAUAUAAGUCUUUUUUAGAUAUUCCACUGCGGACUACAUACGAAGCAAAAUGAGUGAAUCUACACUCUAAAAUAUGUCUAUAUACAUUCGUAUGUAGUUUGUAUUGAAAUCCAUAGAAAGACUUAUAUUUAGAACGGAGGGAGUAUAUGUUAUGGUGGAUAAAAAUUCUUUUAAAUACACUAUAUAUACUGUGUACUAAAUGGUGGAAUCGUUGGCCGCCUGCCGGCCUUGACUGACAUAGAGAGGGAGAACGCCCUAGAACGGAUGCUCGCGCAUUUGCGCCUCACCAAGGUUCACUGCCUCGCAUGCUUCCUAGGCCGAACUGAGAUGCCGUCUCGAGCCGCUGCGUUCUCGAAAAAAAAUCUCAGAUGCCAUUGUUCCAUUGACCUGAUUCUGAUUGUUUUGUAGACUAAAAUCGUGUUUUGAGAUCAUAUUCAUCAAGUGAGAGACACUUUCCAAUGUGCUAAGAUGUGCAGCUCAACAUCAUAGGAUUGUCACAUCUUGAAUUCUAGUUCUUAGAGCUUUGGUUUCUAACCCUUAUUUGCUUGUCUUGUCUUUUGUUUUACGGGUUUCAAGCUUCAGCACAAAUCUUCUGUAGGAAAUCUUGUACUCAUAGUGUAGAAAAAUGCCGUUUUUGUGAAAUGUCACAGGAGCUACAUUACUAACAUUGUUGUAAUGUUUGUAUGGCAUCCUAUUCUUUAAUCCGUUCAAUUACAGAGUUUAUGAUUAUGUAAAUGGAGUAUGGGAUCUGAGAAGAAAAAAAAGGUAAUAGUACUUUCGUUCACAGGCAGGUUCGACAUAUCCUCGUUUACUUCCCCCUUGUCUUCUGACUGACUCCUUAAAUCAUCAACAUGUGUGUAUAUAUAGUUGCAUCCGAUUCAAGGAAGAUAAUGGACAAGUGCAUUGGUAUGAACAGGUCGUCGACUUUGACAGAAAAUGCAUACAGAUUAUCAGUUUUCCUGCUGAGUUGUACUAUUAUGCUACAGAAUACGCAUAAUUAGUUACAGAUCAGUAGGCUACUCAUCUGGUUAGUUUUCGCAAGUCAUUUCUUUUGUGUGUAUAUAUGUUAUUUUCCUUUUUACACUAACAAGAGUUUCGUGCUUUCUGGUAUGGUGUGGUGCUCCCCACUUCAUUUAGUGAGUUCUUCCUUAAUGGAGGAUAUGGUAUAGGUAAUAGUGAGUGGUGUUCUAGCUUAUGCACUAUUUUCCCCUGGCCUGAGUUCCACACCAUAACAUGCCGCCGCCCCGGCCGCCGCGUCUGCCACGGCGCCGACGCCUCCCUGGCUCGCGGGACAUCCCCUCUAUAUAUUGUAACAGACUCCCAUGAAUACAAUUGAGUUGCAUCCUAUAAUCUUCUACAUGUGUCAUCCGGUUUUAAUGGACAGGUUCCAGCAAAAAAUGUCAUGCUAUAGGGAAAGAGUGGGAAGGGUGUGUUGUAGGGUGGAAUUCUUGUGUUGGAACAACGUGUUGGAGAUAACAUGGUGAAUAGUCCGUACAACUAUAUUUCUUCCCCACAUAUGAGUUGGAUUUGGGGGAGCCCAGACGGAUGAAUUUGGGGAGUCUGCUGGGCACCCAUUUGAACACGGCCGAACGUAUGAGGGAGAAAUGAGCUUCGACUUGUUUAAUAUUGUACAAAAAAUAUUUGCUGCUAAUAAUGAGACAAGUUCUGAUUUGUAAA